rnacentral:rRNA from 1 species
GAUAAUCAUGGAGUAUAAAAAUUAAAUUUAAUAAAUUUAAUAUAACUAUUAAUAGAAUUAGGUUACUAAUAAAUUAAUAACAAUUAAUUUUAAAACCUAAAGGUAAACCUUUAUAUUAAUAAUGUUUUUUUUUUAUUUUUAUAAUUAAGAAUAAUUAUUAAUAAUAAUAAACUAAGUGAACUGAAACAUCUAAGUAACUUAAGGAUAAUAAAUCAACAGAGAUAUUAUGAGUAUUGGUGAGAGAAAAUAAUAAAGGUCUAAUAAGUAUUAUGUGAAAAAAAUGUAAGAAAAUAGGAUAACAAAUUCUAAGACUAAAUACUAUUAAUAAGUAUAGUAAGUACCGUAAGGGAAAGUAUGAAAAUGAUUAUUUUAUAAGCAAUCAUGAAUAUAUUAUAUUAUAUUAAUGAUGUACCUUUUGUAUAAUGGGUCAGCAAGUAAUUAAUAUUAGUAAAACAAUAAGUUAUAAAUAAAUAGAAUAAUAUAUAUAUAUAAAAAAAUAUAUUAAAAUAUUUAAUUAAUAUUAAUUGACCCGAAAGCAAACGAUCUAACUAUGAUAAGAUGGAUAAACGAUCGAACAGGUUGAUGUUGCAAUAUCAUCUGAUUAAUUGUGGUUAGUAGUGAAAGACAAAUCUGGUUUGCAGAUAGCUGGUUUUCUAUGAAAUAUAUGUAAGUAUAGCCUUUAUAAAUAAUAAUUAUUAUAUAAUAUUAUAUAAAUAUUAUAUAAAGAAUGGUACAGCAAUUAAUAUAUAUUAGGGAACUAUUAAAGUUUUAUUAAUAAUAUUAAAUCUCGAAAUAUUUAAUUAUAUAUAAUAAAGAGUCAGAUUAUGUGCGAUAAGGUAAAUAAUCUAAAGGGAAACAGCCCAGAUUAAGAUAUAAAGUUCCUAAUAAAUAAUAAGUGAAAUAAAUAUUAAAAUAUUAUAAUAUAAUCAGUUAAUGGGUUUGACAAUAACCAUUUUUUAAUGAACAUGUAACAAUGCACUGAUUUAUAAUAAAUAAAAAAAAUAAUAUUUAAAAUCAAAUAUAUAUAUAUUUGUUAAUAGAUAAUAUACGGAUCUUAAUAAUAAGAAUUAUUUAAUUCCUAAUAUGGAAUAUUAUAUUUUUAUAAUAAUAAUAAAAAUAUAAAUACUGAAUAUCUAAAUAUUAUUAUUACUUUUUUUUAAUAAUAAUAAUAUGGUAAUAGAACAUUUAAUGAUAAUAUAUAUUAGUUAUUAAUUAAUAUAUGUAUUAAUUAAAUAGAGAAUGCUGACAUGAGUAACGAAAAAAAGGUAUAAACCUUUUCACCUAAAACAUAAGGUUUAACUAUAAAAGUACGGCCCCUAAUUAAAUUAUAUAAGAAUAUAAAUAUAUUUAAGAUGGGAUAAUCUAUAUUAAUAAAAAUUUAUCUUAAAAUAUAUAUAUUAUUAAUAAUUAUAUUAAUUAAUUAAUAAUAUAUAUAAUUAUAUUAUAUAUUAUAUUUUUAUAUAUAAUAUAUAUAAUAUAAACUAAUAAAGAUCAGGAAAUAAUUAAUGUAUACCGUAAUGUAGACCGACUCAGGUAUGUAAGUAGAGAAUAUGAAGGUGAAUUAGAUAAUUAAAGGGAAGGAACUCGGCAAAGAUAGCUCAUAAGUUAGUCAAUAAAGAGUAAUAAGAACAAAGUUGUACAACUGUUUACUAAAAACACCGCACUUUGCAGAAACGAUAAGUUUAAGUAUAAGGUGUGAACUCUGCUCCAUGCUUAAUAUAUAAAUAAAAUUAUUUAACGAUAAUUUUAUUAAAUUUAGGUAAAUAGCAGCCUUAUUAUGAGGGUUAUAAUGUAGCGAAAUUCCUUGGCCUAUAAUUGAGGUCCCGCAUGAAUGACGUAAUGAUACAACAACUGUCUCCCCUUUAAGCUAAGUGAAAUUGAAAUCGUAGUGAAGAUGCUAUGUACCUUCAGCAAGACGGAAAGACCCUAUGCAGCUUUACUGUAAUUAGAUAGAUCGAAUUAUUGUUUAUUAUAUUCAGCAUAUUAAGUAAUCCUAUUAUUAGGUAAUCGUUUAGAUAUUAAUGAGAUACUUAUUAUAAUAUAAUGAUAAUUCUAAUCUUAUAAAUAAUUAUUAUUAUUAUUAUUAUUAAUAAUAAUAAUAUGCUUUCAAGCAUAGUGAUAAAACAUAUUUAUAUGAUAAUCACUUUACUUAAUAGAUAUAAUUCUUAAGUAAUAUAUAAUAUAUAUUAUAUAUAUAUUAUAUAUAAUAUAAGAGACAAUCUCUAAUUGGUAGUUUUGAUGGGGCGUCAUUAUCAGCAAAAGUAUCUGAAUAAGUCCAUAAAUAAAUAUAUAAAAUUAUUGAAUAAAAAAAUAAUAUAUAUUAUAUAUAUUAAUUAUAAAUUGAAAUAUGUUUAUAUAAAUUUAUAUUUAUUGAAUAUAUUUUAGUAAUAGAUAAAAAUAUGUACAGUAAAAUUGUAAGGAAAACAAUAAUAACUUUCUCCUCUCUCGGUGGGGGUUCACACCUAUUUUUAAUAGGUGUGAACCCCUCUUCGGGGUUCCGGUUCCCUUUCGGGUCCCGGAACUUAAAUAAAAAUGGAAAGAAUUAAAUUAAUAUAAUGGUAUAACUGUGCGAUAAUUGUAACACAAACGAGUGAAACAAGUACGUAAGUAUGGCAUAAUGAACAAAUAACACUGAUUGUAAAGGUUAUUGAUAACGAAUAAAAGUUACGCUAGGGAUAACAGGGUAAUAUAACGAAAGAGUAGAUAUUGUAAGUUAUGUUUGCCACCUCGAUGUCGACUCAACAUUUCCUCUUGGUUGUAAAAGCUAAGAAGGGUUUGACUGUUCGUCAAUUAAAAUGUUACGUGAGUUGGGUUAAAUACGAUGUGAAUCAGUAUGGUUCCUAUCUGCUGAAGGAAAUAUUAUCAAAUUAAAUCUCAUUAUUAGUACGCAAGGACCAUAAUGAAUCAACCCAUGGUGUAUCUAUUGAUAAUAAUAUAAUAUAUUUAAUAAAAAUAAUACUUUAUUAAUAUAUUAUCUAUAUUAGUUUAUAUUUUAAUUAUAUAUUAUCAUAGUAGAUAAGCUAAGUUGAUAAUAAAUAAAUAUUGAAUACAUAUUAAAUAUGAAGUUGUUUUAAUAAGAUAAUUAAUCUGAUAAUUUUAUACUAAAAUUAAUAAUUAUAGGUUUUAUAUAUUAUUUAUAAAUAUAAUAUAAUAAUUAUUAUUAUUAAUAAAAAAAAUAUUAAUUAUA